GGGCCUAGCACUGAAGAAGAAAAGCAUUCCUCAGCCCACAAAUGCCCUGAAAUCCUUCAACUGGUCUAAACUGCCCGAGAACAAACUGGAAGGAACAGUAUGGACCGAAAUUGAUGAUACAAAAGUCUUCAAAAUUCUAGAUCUUGAAGACCUGGAAAGAACCUUCUCUGCCUAUCAAAGACAGCAGAAAGAAGCAGAUGCCAUUGAUGACACUCUGAGUUCCAAACUUAAAGUCAAAGAGCUUUCGGUGAUUGAUGGUCGGAGAGCUCAGAAUUGCAACAUCCUUCUAUCGAGGUUGAAAUUAUCCAAUGACGAAAUCAAACGGGCAAUUCUAACAAUGGACGAACAGGAAGAUCUGCCCAAGGACAUGUUGGAACAGCUCUUGAAAUUUGUUCCUGAAAAAAGUGACAUUGACCUAUUGGAGGAACAUAAACACGAACUGGAUCGGAUGGCCAAGGCUGAUAGGUUCCUUUUUGAGAUGAGCAGAAUUAAUCACUAUCAGCAAAGGUUGCAAUCGCUGUACUUCAAAAAGAAGUUUGCAGAGCGUGUGGCAGAAGUGAAACCUAAAGUGGAAGCAAUUCGUUCUGGCUCAGAAGAGGUGUUUAGGAGUGGUGCCCUCAAGCAGUUGCUGGAGGUGGUUUUGGCAUUUGGAAAUUAUAUGAAUAAAGGUCAAAGAGGGAAUGCAUAUGGAUUCA
rnacentral:sRNA from 1 species